ensembl:snRNA U6 U6 spliceosomal RNA
CUAAAAUAUACUUUUCCUUACACUAAACUUGGAACAAUACAGAGAAGAUAGUGUGACUUCUGUGCAAGAAUGCCAUGAAAAUUCAUGAAGCAUUCCAUAUUUUA